UUGAACGCUGGCGGCAGGCCUAACACAUGCAAGUCGAGCGGAUGAAGGGAGCUUGCUCCUGGAUUCAGCGGCGGACGGGUGAGUAAUGCCUAGGAAUCUGCCUGGUAGUGGGGGAUAACGUCCGGAAACGGGCGCUAAUACCGCAUACGUCCUGAGGGAGAAAGUGGGGGAUCUUCGGACCUCACGCUAUCAGAUGAGCCUAGGUCGGAUUAGCUAGUUGGUGGGGUAAAGGCCUACCAAGGCGA
rnacentral:rRNA from 1 species